UACGUAGGGUGCAGGCGUUAAUCGGAAUUACUGGGCGUAAAGCGUGCGCAGGCGGUUUUGUAAGCCAGAUGUGAAAUCCCCGGGCUUAACCUGGGAAUGGCAUUUGGGACUGCAAGGCUUGAGUGCGGCAGAGGAGACUGGAAUCCUGGUGUAGCGGUGAAAUGCGUAGAUAUCCGGAGGAACACCGGUGGCGAAGGCGGCAUCCUGGACCGAUACUGACGCUGAGGAGCGAAAGCCAGGGGAGCAAACGGG
rnacentral:rRNA from 1 species